AUGGCCCAUGUAUCUUUAGGGACUAUCAGUUCAUCACUCUUCACAGCCACCGUCCUCCUCACUUUCUUGACCUCUUUUGCCCCUGCUUCUUCACUCGAUGGCACCACGCUUGGUGAUGAAUCUGGUAAGGACUUCCAAGCACUCCUCUGUCUCAAGAACCAUCUCUCUAACAACACCGAAGCCCUCGCCUCGUGGAACAAUACCCUUCAGUAUUGCAGUUGGCCCGGUGUCACCUGUGGCAAGAAGCACGCAUCUCGCGUCACAACACUUCAUCUUGAAUCUCUUGAUCUGAACGGCCAAAUACCACCCUGCAUCGGUAAUCUCACUUUCCUUGCAAGAAUCAAACUCCAGGAUAACCUGCUGAAUGGCGGGAUCCCGCCUGAGGUAGGUUUUCUGCGUCACCUUGUCGAGCUCUCCCUUUCAGAUAACAUUCUUACUGGCGUAAUACCGAACUCUUUGUCUACCUGUUCUAGCCUUCAGAUAAUCGAUCUUGGGAAUAACUACCUCCAGGGGAAGAUCCCCACAGGUUUGGCCAACUGUCUAAAUCUCACAGAGAUUUAUCUUGAUAGCAACACGCUCCACGGAAGCAUUCCGGAUGGGUUCGGCAUGCUUCCUAAGCUUUCAGUUCUGUAUGUUCUAACAACAAAUUAA
rnacentral:rRNA from 1 species